rnacentral:rRNA from 4 species
CAAACUCCUACGGGAGGCAGCAGUAGGGAAUCUUCCACAAUGGACGAAAGUCUGAUGGAGCAACGCCGCGUGAGUGAAGAAGGGUUUCGGCUCGUAAAACUCUGUUGUUAAAGAAGAACAUAUCUGAGAGUAACUGUUCAGGUAUUGACGGUAUUUAACCAGAAAGCCACGGCUAACUACGUGCCAGCAGCCGCGGUAAUACGUAGGUGGCAAGCGUUGUCCGGAUUUAUUGGGCGUAAAGCGAGCGCAGGCGGUUUUUUAAGUCUGAUGUGAAAGCCUUCGGCUCAACCGAAGAAGUGCAUCGGAAACUGGGAAACUUGAGUGCAGAAGAGGACAGUGGAACUCCAUGUGUAGCGGUGAAAUGCGUAGAUAUAUGGAAGAACACCAGUGGCGAAGGCGGCUGUCUGGUCUGUAACUGACGCUGAGGCUCGAAAGUAUGGGUAGCAAACAGGAUUAGAUACCCUGGUAGUCCAUACCGUAAACGAUGAAUGCUAAGUGUUGGAGGGUUUCCGCCCUUCAGUGCUGCAGCUAACGCAUUAAGCAUUCCGCCUGGGGAGUACGGCCGCAAGGCUGAAACUCAAAGGAAUUGACGGGGGCCCGCACAAGCGGUGGAGCAUGUGGUUUAAUUCGAAGCUACGCGAAGAACCUUACCAGGUCUUGACAUACUAUGCAAAUCUAAGAGAUUAGACGUUCCCUUCGGGGACAUGGAUACAGGUGGUGCAUGGUUGUCGUCAGCUCGUGUCGUGAGAUGUUGGGUUAAGUCCCGCAACGAGCGCAACCCUUAUUAUCAGUUGCCAGCAUUAAGUUGGGCACUCUGGUGAGACUGCCGGUGACAAACCGGAGGAAGGUGGGGAUGACGUCAAAUCAUCAUGCCCCUUAUGACCUGGGCUACACACGUGCUACAAUGGAUGGUACAACGAGUUGCGAACUCGCGAGAGUAAGCUAAUCUCUUAAAGCCAUUCUCAGUUCGGAUUGUAGGCUGCAACUCGCCUACAUGAAGUCGGAAUCGCUAGUAAUCGCGGAUCAGCAUGCCGCGGUGAAUACGUUCCCGGGCCUUGUACACACCGCCCGUCACACCA